CGGCGAUCACCUCAGCUGCUCAGGAUUGGCUGAGUCCACAGGCAGCCUGACCAAUAGCGGCGGUGGGGUAUGUAUAAAUUCCACAGCGAGAGUACACUGCGGCCUUUCCAGGCGCGAGGACCUGUCGGGAACUGAAUCUCAGCGGCGUGAGGGGCAGCGAGAGCCAGGAGGUGCUCCCCUGAGGGCCCGGCACGCUUCCCCGGCUCCUCGCGAGCUCCGGGCUGGGUACGCGUGGCGGUGGUAGGGGAGGGAGGGCUGAGCGCGGCGCUGUGCGGCCCGCACCGCUUGGCGGCCUCCGUGUCUCCCCUGGGGCCGCCGUACCGGUCUGACCUCACAGCUUACGGAUUCAAUAAAGUUUUCUGACUCGAA
rnacentral:lncRNA from 1 species